UCGGAUAUGGUGUAACGGCUAACAUUGCCGCCUCUCAUGCUUCCAUCACAUGUAGAUCUCGCGGCAGCUCGGGGUUCGAUUCCCCGUAUCCGAA